rnacentral:rRNA from 1 species
ACAAUGGAGAGUUUGAUCCUGGCUCAGGAUGAACGCUAGCGGCAGGCUUAAUACAUGCAAGUCGUGGGGCAGCGCGGGUAGCAAUAUCUGGCGGCGACCGGCAAACGGGUGCGGAACACGUACGCAACCUUCCUUCAAGUGGGGGAUAGCCCAGGGAAACUUGGAUUAAUACCCCGUAAUAUUAUGAGGUGGCAUCAUCUUAUAAUUAUAGCUUCGGCGCUUGGAGAUGGGCGUGCGGCUGAUUAGGUAGUUGGCGGGGUAACGGCCCACCAAGCCUGCGAUCAGUAACUGGUGUGAGAGCACGACCAGUCACACGGGCACUGAGACACGGGCCCGACUCCUACGGGAGGCAGCAGUAAGGAAUAUUGGUCAAUGGACGCAAGUCUGAACCAGCCAUGCCG